GGGCCGUUAGCUCAACUGGCAGAGCAGCGGACUUUUAAUCCGCGGGUUCAGGGUUCGAGCCCCUGACGGCCCA
rnacentral:tRNA from 1 species